GACGGAAGGUGCAAGCGUUGCUCGGAAUCACUGGGCGUAAAGGGUGCGUAGGCGGCCGCGCAAGUCUGGCGUGAAAGCCCCGGGCUCAGCCCGGGAAGGGCGCUCGAAACGGCGCGGCUCGAGUGCCGGAGGGGAGAGUGGAAUUCCUGGUGUAGCGGUGAAAUGCGUAGAUAUCAGGAGGAAUACCGGUGGCGAAAGCGACUCUCUGGACGGCAACUGACGCUGAGGCGCGAAAGCUAGGGUAGCAAACAGG
rnacentral:rRNA from 1 species